rnacentral:lncRNA from 1 species
GGCUGAGCUGCUGAUCCUCUGUGACGGAAUAAGCCAUGGGUGCCACAAACUUCCAUUUUCCAGGGGCUUCUAAGGCUUGGGAAUCUCAGAGCAGAGAGAAAUCCCACAGAACCUGCACUGGGCCCUGCUUCUGCUGUGCAGGGUUCACCUGGAUGCUUGUGGAAGGCACCAGAGGCUGCAGCCCCUGCACAGUAGCCAAAAGUGCUGGUGCCAGCUGUGCUGCCCGUGGCAGAGGAGACAGAUGCACCCAAAAAGGAGCCCGUGGCUGCUGCUGCUCACCUUCCCACAAGCCUUGCUCUUGCCCUCAGCCCUGGGGGACCCUGGCUCUAGCCUGCAAUGAAACCAAAAAGGGAUGCCAGUCUUGAAUUCCUAGAAAAUCCAAUCAAAUCAGAAAGACCAGUGCAAGGAGACUCAGCUAGCGCCCAGCCUGACACAUCUGGGAGCGACUGCUCUAGGGAGGCUGUGGGCAUCUGAGAGAAGCAGAGCUGCCUGUGCCGCUCUGCCCUGCUCCACGGCCGUGGGGUGUGCAGGGCUCUCUGAGGCCAGACCUGGCUCUGAGGGAUGUCAGACAUCAAUAAACAUCACUGUCAAAAAGGACA